AAUAAAUAAUAGCGAGUCGAUAGGAAGAAAUUUUUUGUUAUCAAGAGAGGACAAUGAUGAAUGGUCAGAUUGGUUUAUUCUGGCAGAAAGUCUACACAAACUCAGAUAGUCAAUGUGAAGCACACAGAUGAUGGGGUCAAAGCAUGAUAUUGCACGCAAUGUUACGAAGAGCAAAGUUCAGGUUUCUUCAUUGUCUUUGCAAGUCCCCCAGAUUUGCAUUGAAU